UGUUGUCAUUCUGGAACGCGCUCUCACGUUUCACAGGGUUCCGGUCUGGAAGCACACUUCCCACUGUGCUAAAUAUGGAUCAAAUUGUAAACAUUUGUAGCUAGCUAAAUGCUAUUCACAGAAUUUGAAAGCUACAACAAGGCAUCGGUGUGAAGAAGAUGAAGGGAAUAAUUAAAAUGAGUGUUUCCACAUAGCAUAACCACUACAAAGUUAAUGCUAGCUAGCUAUCUAACUAGCCUCUUUUCUAUUGGCAUUACAUGGCUUGCUAACUAGCUAGCAUUAGAGCUUUUCUGGCUAGCCUGUAUCUUGUGGUUAUUAUAUUGUGUAACAGAGGAAUAGAUAAAGCUAUGUACUUGUAAUUUGGUUGAGACUAAAAUCAGUUUAGAAAACAAUUAUUUGCUCUGUGUAUAUUUGAUGUGUAGUUGGUUGGCUUUGCUAGUUAGCAAGCUGAGAUCUCUGCUCAAGUUGGCUAAUGUUAGCUGUAGAAUCAAGACAAGAGGGGAUGGGGAAGAAUAUUAAAUGUGCAGUUGCUUCAUCUGGCUGAUGCAGUGCCCAGACGAAAUGAGAGCUAACUGCUACAGAGAUACGUAAAAGACGAAGAGGAGGAAAUCAGCCGUUACAGAAACACCCACCAACCAAGGACCAAGCAGAGUGUAAAGGACAGCAGCGGCAGAAGACACAGGAUUCAUGGACUUGGGAGGAGAUUCUGGACGGCAAGGGACCCUGGACUCAGCCAGGUGAAUAUCGCCGUCCCAGGGCAGAGUUGGAGGCAGCGAAGGCAGAGAGGCGCUGGUAUGAGGAGGCAGCACGGCGACGCGGUUGGAAGCCCGAGAGUCAGCCCCCAAAAAUUAUUGGGGGGCACACGGGGAGUGUGGCUAAGCCAGGUAGGAGACCUGAGCCGCCACCGCGGACAGAUGCCCACCCAGACCCUCCCCUAUAGGUUUAGGUUUUGCGGCCGGAGUCCGCACCUUUGGGGGGGGGGGGGUACUGUCACGGGUUGACCUUUAUUUUCCUUUGUUUUGUCUUUAGUUAGUAUGGUCGGGACGUGAGUUGGGGUGGGCAGUCUAUGUUAUGUGUUUCUAUGUUUAGGUUUGUUUAUUGGCCUGAUAUGGUUCUCAAUCAGAGACAGGUGUUUUGCAUUGUCUCUGAUUGGGAACCAUAUUUAGGUUGCCUGUUUUCACUGUGGGUUUGUAGGUUUGUUUCCUGUGUCUGUGUUCAUGCCACACGGAACUGUUUCGGUUAGGUUACUUUGUUGUUUUGUAUUUUUUGUCGUGUUCAGUGGAUUAUAUUAAAACAUGGACACUUA